UACGUAGGGUGCAAGCGUUGUCCGGAAUUAUUGGGCGUAAAGAGCUCGUAGGCGGUUCGUCGCGUCGGCUGUGAAAACCCGGGGCUCAACCCCGGGCCUGCAGUCGAUACGGGCGGACUAGAGUUCGGCAGGGGAGACUGGAAUUCCUGGUGUAGCGGUGAAAUGCGCAGAUAUCAGGAGGAACACCGAUGGCGAAGGCAGAUCUCUGGGCCGUUACUGACGCUGAGGAGCGAAAGCGUGGGGAGCGAACAGG
rnacentral:rRNA from 1 species